rnacentral:rRNA from 1 species
GGGGCGGCAGCUACCAUGCAAGUCGAGCGGAACGAGUUAUCUGAACCUUCGGGGAACGAUAACGGCGUCGAGCGGCGGACGGGUGAGUAAUGCCUGGGAAAUUGCCCUGAUGUGGGGGAUAACCAUUGGAAACGAUGGCUAAUACCGCAUAAUGCCUACGGGCCAAAGAGGGGGACCUUCGGGCCUCUCGCGUCAGGAUAUGCCUAGGUGGGAUUAGCUAGUUGGUGAGGUAAUGGCUCACCAAGGCGACGAUCCCUAGCUGGUCUGAGAGGAUGAUCAGCCACACUGGAACUGAGACACGGUCCAGACUCCUACGGGAGGCAGCAGUGGGGAAUAUUGCACAAUGGGCGCAAGCCUGAUGCAGCCAUGCCGCGUGUGUGAAGAAGGCCUUCGGGUUGUAAAGCACUUUCAGUCGUGAGGAAGGUGGUGGAGUUAAUAGCUGCAUUAUUUGACGUUAGCGACAGAAGAAGCACCGGCUAACUCCGUGCCAGCAGCCGCGGUAAUACGGAGGGUGCGAGCGUUAAUCGGAAUUACUGGGCGUAAAGCGCAUGCAGGUGGUUUGUUAAGUCAGAUGUGAAAGCCCGGGGCUCAACCUCGGAAUAGCAUUUGAAACUGGCAGACUAGAGUACUGUAGAGGGGGGUAGAAUUUCAGGUGUAGCGGUGAAAUGCGUAGAGAUCUGAAGGAAUACCGGUGGCGAAGGCGGCCCCCUGGACAGAUACUGACACUCAGAUGCGAAAAGCGUGUGGAGCAAAACAGGAUUAGAUACCCUGGUAGUCCACGCCGUAAACAAUGUCUACUUGGAGGUUGUGGCCUUGAGCCGUGGCUUUCGGAGCUAACGCGUUAAUUAGACCGCCUGGGGAUUACGGUCGCAAGAUAUAAUUCAUAUGUUUUGUCGGGUGCCCGAACAAUCGUGGAUCAUGUGGUUUAAUAAAUGCACGCGAAAAACCUAUCUACUC